GCUUGGAGGCGCUGGCGGCCGUUUCGGAUGAAAUAGCGCUCUGUUUCCUUGGUUACAGGAGACGUUUGUUUAGGUGCAAGCAUUGCAGCACUGCAGGAAAUGGUCCCAGGUCCCAGCCUGUCUCAUGUGUAUACCUGGACUCAGAUAUUCAGGGACCAGGUGUUAUUCAUCUGGGAAUCCUCCAGGAUGCUAGAAAGGUUGGUGGCAUGCAUCUUGCCAUGUUUGGCAGCCAGCCUCCAAGAUGGUCCCCAAUGAUCCUCACCUUCCUGACAUGCACACCCCUGUGUCGUCCCCUCCCACAUGGAAUAGGAUAUCACAGAAAUGACAGAAUGUGACUUCUAAGGAUAGUUCAUAAAAGACAUUGUGGCUUCUACCUUGUUCUUAAGGAUCACUUGGUCUGGGAAAGCCAGCUGCCGUGUCAGGAGGGCACUCAGACAGUAGUGUGAGGAGGUGAGGAAGUGAGGCCUCCUGCUAACAGGCAGCACAAACUCACCAGCUAUGUGAGUGAGCCAUCUUACAAUUAGAUUUUCCGGCCCUACUCAAGCCUUCAGAUGACUACAGCCCAGCCAACACAAUGACUGCAACCUCAUGAGAGACCCCAGCCAGAACAACCUAGCUAAGCUGCUCCCCAAUUCCUGAUUCACAGAAACGUGUAAGAUGGUGUUCUGUUGUUGUUUUAAGCCUUUAAGUUUAGGGGUGACUUUUUAUGCAGCAACAGAUAACCAAUACAGCCUUGAAU